GACGAACGCUGGCGGCGUGCCUAACACAUGCAAGUGGAGCGACGAACCAGACUUCGGUCUGGGGCAAAGCCGCGAACGGGUGAGUAACACGUGGGUAACCUGCCCUGAUGAUUGGGACAACCCGAGGAAACUCGGGCUAAUACCGAAUGUGCCAUCCGGCCAUAAGGCCGGCUGGGAAAGGAAGCUUCGGCCUCCGCAUCGGGAUGGGCCCGCGGUGCAUUAGCUAGUUGGUGAGGUAACGGCUCACCAAGGCGACGAUGCAUAGCUGGUCUGAGAGGACGAUCAGCCACACUGGGACUGAGACACGGCCCAGACUCCUACGGGAGGCAGCAGUGGGGAAUCUUGCGCAAUGCGCGAAAGCGUGACGCAGCAACGCCGCGUGGGUGAAGAAGGCCUUCGGGUUGUAAAGCCCUUUCAGUUGGGACGAAGCUUCGUCGGUUAAUAGCCGGCUGGAGUGACGGUACCUUCAGAAGAAGCCCCGGCUAACUACGUGCCAGCCGCCGCAGUAAGAC
rnacentral:rRNA from 1 species